AUCUUACCCAAAAUGAGAUGGUUGGCAUCUCCCCUGACAGGGAUGGGAACAGCCUUUGGGCUUUCUUGUUAUUGCACAUAUGGGUAAGGCUUCCCACUUCAAUGGAUCUUAUCCAAAGCGCUUA